rnacentral:rRNA from 1 species
GGGUAUCCCUGAUGGCCUACUUCUUUGAGUAUCGUUAUCACCUCUCACCUGACCUCGUGUUGGAGUUGAGGACAAAUGGGGUUUUGUCUCCUUUGAAAUGAAAUACUUUUAGAGGAGUCUCCUUUGUACGAUUACGACAGCUGACUUCGACGUCCUUCCGACGUUUGACAAAUGUUAAGUCUGCGGUGCUUUGAUAAUAGGGUUUUUCACUCUAAUUUUUCAGCACUCCAUCAAUUUCGGUUGAUGAAUGGCUUUCCAUUUGCAGAAGUAUUUACCAGUCUGUUCGUGUGUUCGAACCUAGAAGCGUGUUUUGUCUGUCGUGUUUUGUUGUUCACUCAACCACCAGACGGACCCUCGUGUUUAUGAUCUCAGAUGAAGUAAGAGAACCCGCCGAAUUUAAGCAUAUUAUUAAGCGGAGGAAAAGAAACUAACAAGGAUUCCCCUAGUAACGGCGAGUGAAGCGGGAAGAGCUCAAUGUUAAAAUCGGUAUACCUAGCGGUAUCUCCGAAUUGUAAUCUCGAGACAUUCCAUCAGUUCCGACCCGGGUAGAAAUCUUUUGAAACAAGGUCUCAUAGAGGGUGAGAAGCCCGUCUUUGACUUGGAGUUCGGGACGUACGAG